rnacentral:rRNA from 1 species
CCUACGGGAGGCAGCAGUGGGGAAUAUUGCACAAUGGGGGAAACCCUGAUGCAGCAACGCCGCGUGAGUGAAGAAGUCUUUCGGUAUGUAAAGCUCUAUCAGCAGGGAAGAAGAAAGCCGGUACCUGACUACGAAGCCCCGGCUACGUACGUGCAAGCAGCCGCGGUAACAGGCAGGGGGCAAGCGUUAUCCGGAUUUACUGGGUGUAAAGGGAGCGUAGACGGCUGUGCAGGUCUGACGGGAACGCCCGUGGAUCAACCGCGGAACUGCUUUGGAAACUGUAUAGCUGGAGUACUGGAGAGGCAGGCGGAAUUCCUAGUGUAGCGGUGAAAUGCGUAGAUAUUAGGAGGAACACCAGUGGCGAAGGCGGCCUGCUGGACAGAAACUGACGUUGAGGCUCGAAAGCGUGGGGAGCAAACAGGAUUAGAUACCCUUGUAGUC